AUGAAAUGCAAACGGGAAUCAUUAAAUCUAAAUGAGUUGGAGGAGAGCGACUGUAUGUCGCUUUUCAAUAAUUAUGCAUUCCUCGGUGUGAACCCUGAUGAUUAUAGAAACCUGCAGCUAAUCGGUGAGCAGAUAGUGAAGAAACUUGGAGGAAGCCCAUUGGCCAUAGAAGUCAUAGGAGGAAUGCUGAACUACUGCAUGGAGUAUGAAUAUUGGAAGAAAAUCCUGGAAGAAGACAAGAUGAAAUUACAAGAAGGAAAAGACAACAUCAUGGCAGUUUUAAGAUUAAGCUACGAUCACUUACCCACAGACUUACAACUCUGCUUUAGAUAUUGCAGUUUAUUUCCGCAGGAUUAUACGUUUAAGAGAAAAAAGUUGGUCAAUAUGUGGAUAGGUUCGGGUCUGAUUCCGAAAUCUAUUUGUGGCGGGCAAAGGCCAGAGGAUAAGGGAAAGGAGUAUUUAAAUCUUCUGACAAGAAAAUCAUUCUUUACUUGCACAACCUAUAAUAAUGGGUCGAAAAUUACUAAACAAUAUUUUAUGCACGAUCUACUGCAUGACCUAGCACAAUCAGUUUCUCGAGGAGAAUGCAUCAGAAUAGGAAGGGAUGAUGCAAGAAUUACUAUUCCACUGACUGUUCGACAUUUAUCUGUUGAAAAACUCAAUGUUCCUUCCAUUAGAGAGAUCUCCGUUCUUAAGAACGUGCGCACUCUAAUUGCUUCUGUUAAAGAGGAUAAUAUACCUGAAUUUAUCGAGGUUAUAAAAGGGUUUGAAAAGUUACGCCUAUUGAGCUUAUGCAACAAUUUUGAUUUUAGUAAAUCACCUGGUGCAUUUGAUAGCUUGAUACACCUCCGCUACCUAUCACUUCCACAACAGAUCGUUGAGAACAGAAGUAUUGGAUAUGAUGGCUUGACCAACUUGGUCAAUUUGCGUUCAUUUGAUGUUUCCAAUCAUGUGAUAAGAAAUAUUCCUUAUAUUAGCAAAUUACCCUUCAUCCACAAAUUACAGGAGUUUAUUGUCCGAGAGGAGAAUGGUUACAAAAUCAGUGAACUGAAGAACCUCAAGGACCUUCGUCACCUGCGUAUUGAUGAACUUGAAAAUGUGAGGAGUUCUGAAGAAGCCAUUGAGGCCAAUUUAAAUGGGAAAGAAUGUCUCAAAUCAUUGUCGUUGGACUGGUCUGUAGAUCGCUCUAAUUGCACAGAGGCGGAUGAGCAGCUCCUCGAUAACCUCUGCCCUCAUAUCAAUCUCAAUAAACUGUGCAUUGCACGAUACCAAGGUGCUAAAUCUCCAUGUUGGAUGACAGGUCUGUCGCUCAUCAAUUUGACAUCUAUCGAACUGAGGUUCUGUCAACAAUGGGAGCACCUCCCCCCUCUCGGGCAGUAUUCUUCGCUCCAAUCUCUAUGCUUGAUGGGACUGUAUGCAAUAAAGCAAAUAGAUUGUUCAUUCUUCGGAAGCAACAGCAGAUGUGCCUUUCCAUCAUUGAAGAAGUUACAGUUAUGGUACAUGCGUAACUUGGAGGAGUGGAUUGGAAUUGAUGAUAAGUGCAUGUUUCCUCAACUUCAUUCUAUGAGUAUUAUUGACUGCCCUAAUUUGAGGGAAAUUCCUACUCUGCCUUAUAGUCUAAGACAAUUGCUUAUUUCAAAGGUCGGAUUGACUGCUCUUCCAACAAUAAAUCAGGAUUACGCAAACAACAAUGUAAGUGCUUUAUUUUAUAAACUUCAAAUUUCUCCUGAGGUUUAGAUUAUUUUCACUUGCCCCCCUUACUUCAAAAGGUAUCACUUUGCCCCCUUCCCCCCGUGGUUUAGCCUAUUUUUAUUUUUGUCUAUCUCGUGGUUUAAAAAGUUACACUUUGCCUCCUUUGGUUUAGUUCAUUUUUCACUUUGCUAUCCUAUAAUUUUUUUAAAACAUUUUUAAUAUGCCACUCUAUUUUAUAUAGAAUUUUUUUUGAUGAAAUACAAAUUAAACAACAGGAGGGCGAAGUAAAACUUUUUGAACCGCAAGGUGGCAAGGUGAAAAUGAGUUAAAUCACACGGUAGCAAUUUGAAGUUUGCCCUUAUAUCAAAACACCAAUUCGCAUUUGCAUAGCUGUGGUUGCUCGGACUUAACAUAUCUUUUACAUCUUUUCUUUCUUGCAGCAGCAAGAACAUUUUCAGGCUCUUGAAAGUUUAGUCAUCGGAGAAUGUGAGAAGCUCGAAUAUUUUCCAACAGAUUUUUUUGGGAAAUUCAAUGCCAUAAUAUCCCUGUGCAUAGGAGAUUGCCCGAAGUUGACAAAACGUGGGAUCUCGGACAUCCAAGUGCCCUCUGUACUCGGUGUUCUCAGUAUUGGGUCAUGUGGCGAGCUUGAGGCGCCACUGCUGUGGUCAGCGAAUUUAACCUCUCUUACUCGGUUGGAAUUAGUCGAUUGUGCAAGGAUAGUAUCCCUUCCCCCAGCACAAGUGUGUGCACAAUGGACGAUGCUUUACCUCUUAUCCAUACACAACUGCAAAGAACUGUCAUCAUUUGGUGGGAUACAAGCUCUCGUAUCCCUCCGUUCUUUAGCAAUUAGCGGGUGCGACAAGCUAAUUGAAGUUGCCCUGCUGCAGCAACCUCCGUUCCCAAACGAUCUCGGCCAAAAAAAGAAUGCAGUGGACUGCCUUUUGAAGCUUGAUUAUCUAUCAAUUGACCACCACGCUCUCCUGCUCUUGGAGCCAUUGAGAAGUCUCUCCUCCAUCAGCAAUUUGACUAUCUCUGAUGCUUCGCGACUCACCUCCUUACCUGAGGGAUGGCUACAAAAUCACACCACCCUCAAAGAGUUACACAUAUGGAAUGCACGCUCCCUUCUGUCCCUACCCCUCAGCAUGAAAAAACUGUGCUCCCUCGACGUUUUGGUUGUGGAAGAUGCUAAUCUCAUCCAGUCACUUCCAGAUCUGCCUACUUCACUGUAUUCUCUAAAGAUCACCGGGUGUCACCCCGUGUUGAAGGAGCAAUGCCAAGAGAAUAUAGGCCCCGAUUGGCCCAAGAUUGCCCACAUCCCUGAUGUGAGGAUUGAAUAGCAUUUGCGGAGGUGAUGAUGAUGCAUAUAUAUUGCAUGCUUACUUUACCACCCUUCAUCACCCAUGCUACUCUCUGCAAUUAAUGCAAUUCAUUUCGGUGUUCUUCGGUCGUAACAAGUUUUAUCUCAUUUGUUACAGGACUACUACUUGGCCUUUCUGGACAAUGCAGGAGCAGCCAGGUUCGUUUUUAAUAAUUAGCAUGCAUCCUAAAUAGAAUUUUUUUUUAUAUUUUGUACCCUUAAUUAUUUUAAUACGAUUUGGAUACAUAAUAAGGGAACAUAUAUAGCGCUAAUUGCCCCUCAUAAUUAAUUAAUACAUGGUGCUCGGUGGUCGGAUUGGUCGACUUGUAAGAUAAACGGUGUAAUGAAUACAGUCGUAUGGCAAUUGCAUGCUUUGUAAAGUAAAUAGGACUAGUUCUCCGGUGAUGAGUUACAACUUAAGAGACGACGCGCGACAAAAGCGUUCGAGUAAUUGUAUAAGACUCCUAUGUAUAUAUUUCUCUCAAUUCUUUCAGGAAUAUAACAAGAUUCUAUUUUGGCAGUGCAGGAACAUAUACAGUAUUUAGGCUUAGGACUCCCUGUGCCUUAAUCUUACUGCAUGCAUUGCAUUUUUUUUUCUUUUUUUCUAUUGCCAAAUUAAUGUAAAAUCUUUAUGGAUGAAAUUAUCCUAAAAAUAAUUAAUUUACUGUUUGAUUCCUGCACAAGUAGCAAAUCUCAUAGCCUGGUGAUCGAGCUUGUUUGGUUUUGUCUACUAUCUGAUGAUCAAAGUUGUUGAGCCUAGUUUAAACAUUGGUUUAGAAUGUGUUUCAAACCUUUUUUUUUCUUUUUUCUUUCAGCAGCAUAAUUAGUACCCUGAUUAAUUAAGUUUGUGAGCUUAAUUUCAGUGGUAUAAAUUAUAUUCAAAUUUUGUUAAAGUUUAUAUGUUUUUUUAAUGCAGGUUGUAUCAAUUUGGGAGUAAAUUUAGUAGAUGCUCUGUCAAUAAGGCUCGGCUGACUCGUUGUAAAAGGAAUAUGAGAGCAAAACUGCAACAGCACACAUGAACUUGCAACCACAUCCUGCAGUUUCAUAUAUACUUUUACUAUCUUUGCACUUUCUAAACAAACUUAAGAUUUAUUAAAGACUGAAGUGUUACUUCUAAUAUUCUAUGUUUGGUUGUGUAAGAACGAAUUAAAGACUCCAUCGAUUUCUAUUUUCUAUUUUCUAUUUUCUUUAUAUUCUAGGUGGUGUAUGAAUUAAAAAGACUCCUCUUAUUAUCGUCUAUCGAUUUCGUCCUUGUUACGAAGGAUGGUUAAAGUUUUACUGCUUAAUUUGUGUACAUAUUCUCUCCUAUUUUUCUUGUUGCAGGAUUGGAAUAAGACUACUACAUGUACAUAGCAGCCUAUAUAUAUAAUGUGAUUGGUGUCUUUAGUGUAGCUUAAUUUUACUGGUUAUUCUGUUUUACUGCUUAAUUAAUCUUCCCUAGGAGACCAAUUAACUAGCAAGAUAAAGAAUAUUUUCAGGUUAAGUUGUGGGACUAAUCUGAUUUCUUAGUAGAGAAGUAUAAUUAAUUACAUUACUAAUGGCAAGAUAGCAGGACAUCACUUUAUUUGCUGCUUAAAGUGAUUGAUUGCAUUUGCUUAAUUUAAGGAAAAUAACGAGCUUCGGAUCAGAAUUUUGACGCUGCGGGAUCAUUUUCGGCAGUUGUCGUUCAUGUUCAUGUUCAGUUCAGUCUUCAAUCUGUAUAAGUUUGGGCUUGAUUCUGAUUUUCCGAGCUUCAGAUCAGAAUUUUGAUGAUGUGGGACCAUUUCAGCAGUUGUUGUGAUCAUAUUCAGUUCAAUUUUCAAUCUGUAUAAAUUUAGUUUGAUUCUAAUUUUUCCCUUCUUUUUUUUUUUUUUUUUUUUUUGGUUUACACCAUCUUAACUUCAUUUUUUUUUUUGGGAGUUAUUUUAGCUUGUUGAAGUGAAAAUUUUGUUUAGUUUAAUGGCUCUAUUAGCUGUAGGUUGAUUCAGUUUUAUUUGCUAUAAUAAGAUGAUUAAAACCAUUCAGUGCUAAUUUUUUUUUGUUAUAAUUUAAUAUUUCAAUAAAAUUAUUUUUGGUAGUUUUAUGUGUAACCAAAUCACCGCGCAUUUUCUGCUACGGGAAACAAUUGCCUGUACCCAGUGUACACAUGCACUCUAUGCACCGCACCUAUGUGUUGUGUGAUACUACAUUUGAAACAUUAUGAAUUUUGAAAAGGAUAAACUUUAAAUUGCCUAACUUAUUUUUAUUUUUCCAUCCAAUGGUUCAAAAAGUUACACUUAACUAUUCUACGGUUUAGCGCAUUUUUCAUUUUGUCGUCCUAUAAUUUUUUUUACUUUGCCACGUCAUUGGACAUAAAAUUUUGGGCUAAUUGCAUACAACUCCCUGUAAACAUAUUGAAUAACAGAUGUAUUCCUAUAAAGUUUAACUUUUUUAUUUUCAUUCCUGUAAAAAAGUCCAACCGUUUUUAAAUAUAUCCCCACUGUUAGGAUCCGUUAAAAAAAAAUAUAGUUAACCAUGAGUAAAAUAUUUAACCAUGAUUAGUGGAUGAGUUAAAUUGAUAUUUUUACUUUUCUUAUAUUAUUGGAUAAAAUAUUUUUUGGGAGGGCAUUUCUGUAUAAUGAAUUUUUGGAGGGAUAUAUUCGUAAGGGUAAAAAUAUUAUUUUUCUUAUUUUCUGUUAAAAUAAAUAAAAAAUACUCUAACGGUAACAAACUACAGGGGCAAAUAUGAAUAUUACUGGACUUUUGCCGAGCUAAAAAUAAAAAGUUAAACUUUGUAGUAAUAUAUUUGCUAUUCAAUAUAGGAGAAAAGAGUGUCAAUUUUUUUGAACGACAAAAGUGCAAAAGUAAAAAUAUAUUUGUUAACAGGGAAUUCAAUUUAUACAGACCAAUUCAAAUUUUUUUUUUUUUUUUUAAUUUUAAUAGCAUAGACCAUGUACAAUACUACAAGGUGGGACAAUAAUUAAUUCCCUUAUGCAAUAUUUCCAACGUAGUUUUUGUUAUGUAUAACUUUAAAAUCCGAGCCCAAUCAAUAUAUGUGAUACUUAGAACAAGUAAAGGGACUAAAUAUGAAAAAGGAUAUAUACUCAAAACCACCCCUGUGGUUUCGCGACCUUGCUCAUUUAGUACCAUGAUGAUUUAAGGUGAAUACAAUUUGCCUCCCUAUGCUUUCGUUUUUUUUGCUUUUUUAUUUAUCAAUUUUAAUCAAUUUUUUCAUUAAAUCAGUUACAAAUUAAAAAUUAAAGUGUAAUUAAAGUAAAUAAUUCAAAUAAAUCUAUACUUAGAUCGCUGAAGUUUUUGCUAUUAUAUUUCAACAAAUAUCAUUAAGAAAAAAGCCGCCGAAAAGAUAAAAAAAGAACCACAGGAGGGCAUUGAUAUGACACUUUAAACCACUGAGAUAUAAAGUGAGAAGUAGGCGAAACCACAGGGGUUUCUUUGAAUUUUUCCUAAAAAAAAAAUCAAAUUUGGGGAAAAACUUAAUUAACUAACAUAAUUAAUAAUAAAAAAAAAUCAAUAAUUGUCUAUAAUCGGCCGUAAAGCUACUAUUUAAAUUUUUAGAGUAAUACAUGAAUAUUUUUGGCUAUAAACUUGUUCGUCUUUCUGUGCACUUCUUCUACACUAAUUUCAAAAAUUUUCAUUUUGGUCCUCAAAGAUUUCAAGUUUGUAUACACUCUGGUUCAACCUAGCUUUCCGUCAACUUUCCUCUCUAUUCUUAAAUUCAUACACUAGAUAUACCAGAAUACGUGAUUAAAAAUACUGAAAAUAUAUUAAAAAUUAUUUUUUCUCUCCAGAAUGAGUAACGGUAGUUUUGUCAUUUCACCUAGUUCGUUAACGCCGGAACUGUCUUAAAAAAAAUCUGAAAUUUUAAGCAGACAAAAUAUAAAUCUUUUAAAAUCAAAAAAAUAAAAAAUAAUUAUUUACAGAAUUUUUUUUUUGUAUUUUAAUAUAAAUUUUAAUAUUAAAAUCUCUACCAAGGACUUUUAGAAAUGCCGUGUAUAUGAUGUAGUUAUAUGCAAUAAUUGAGUUUGGUUGGUAGUUACGGAAGGGGGACAAAUUUCUUGCACUUUGACUUGUAUAAGUCUUCUCUAUGAAACUUCAAUUUCAUUUCCUCUCUUUUUCUCAUAAACAUUCGAGAAACUACUGCCCCCAUUUUAUAUAUCUUUGCUACGUAUUAUAUACCUUGUUAAAAAUUGCGAAACAACCAGCUAUCUCUAUUAAAAGCUUAAAUUGUUACAUAAUGAUAUUUUUUUUAAUAAUUAUGUUCAGCAUUCCUCCGUAUAGUUGGGCUUGAAUCUUUUUUUAUAUGCUCUAAUGCUCCCGCCUUGAAGUACGUACGUUGAGUUAAAUAAGUGGAAAUUACGAGGCAAGGGUCCGGUGGGAUUCAAAUUUGGAAUCUCUCAUUCUGAUAUUAUGUUAAAUAAUAUGAAGCAAUCAUUAUUCUUCGAAAGCUUAAGUCAUUGGAAAAUGUUGUUAUAUUUGGGCUUAAAGCUUUUUAAGGAGUUCUAGGUGUGGAUUUGAUUUAAAUAGAAAAAGAUUAAGGGCUUGUUUGGAAGCCGAAAUAAAAUAUUUAAGAAUAAUUUAUUCGGCAUGAAAAUUUUUAGUGUCAUUAUAAAAAAAAAGGUAAUAGCAUAACAUAUUUCAAAUACGAAAUGAUUUAUUUAUCCUAAAAAAUAACUCGAAGGCUAAAUGUACGUAGUACCCAAUUUUAAACAUUUAAUCACAUUCUCCAUCCACCAGAUGUAUAAACUUAUUAAGUAUAUCACGAAGACAUACUAAAUAACAAAUUUAUGUAUCCGGAUAGGGUCUAAACAAAUAAUGGGAAAAAAAAAAAAAAGUUAGAAGAAAAGUGUGCGGAGAAAUGAUUCUAUAUUUUUCGCUGCAAAAAUUAUAUAUGAUAAUUUCUUUUUUACAGAUAUAAAUCAAAUGUUUUUUUCAUCAUAUUUUCUCAAGGUACAUAUCACUCAAUCCCGACAAAGUCUAAAAUAUCUAGAGAUGUGGUGUUUUUUCCAAAACGUGCCACUUUUUUCUACAGCUUGCAUUAAUUAUAUCUCCUCCUAAAUUAAUCCUUCUUCUUUGCACGCUCAACUUCCUGAUUCUCAUUUGCCUGAGUAGUGGUGAAGUAGUAGGAGUUAGAGCUAUUCGGAGGAUUAUGGCUUUACCUUUCAUAGCCGAAUCGGCGGCGUCGGCAAUCAUUGAGAAUCUCGUUAGCACUUGCUCAUCCUACCUCGAGGCAUGCCCGGCAGCCUGCGGCAUGCAAGACGAGCUCGAAAGGCUGCAGCACACACUUCCGCAGGUCCAGGCAGUCUUGACUGCGGUCGAGGGGGGUGCACCGGUCAUGGUGCAGAACAAGGCGCUGGAAACGUGGCUGUGGCAGCUCAGAGACGCCGUGGAGAAUGCGGAGGACGUGCUCGACGAGCUGGAGUACUACGAGUUACAGAAGACUAUACAAGAUCGAGAUGACAAGGUGCGUGGUAUUCUAUCUAACUGCAAGAGAAAGUUUGAUAGUUUCGUUAAUCGUAUAUUUAGCGAUGACACACUGAAGCGGUUGAGGGAGGCCGUCAAGGGGUUGGAUCGGGUCAUUGCUGGUAUGGGGCCACUCCUUCAUCUUGUUACUGGGUUAUAUGGCCCUCGCGUUAAGUGUCAGAAACUCGAGGAAAUUAAGAAUGCUCGCGAGACUAGCUCCUUGCUAACCGAAAGUGAGGUGCUCGGACGAGACGAGGAGAGGGACCUGAUAGUUGAAUGGCUGAUCGAACCGGGAGAUGCCGAUGUCAAUGUCUCCACUUUUACAAUUGUUGGUAUGGGCGGGAUCGGGAAGACCACUCUUGCUCAAUUGGUCUAUCGCAACGAAAGAGUGCAAGAGUACUUCGACCCGAUUGUGUGGGUUUGCAUUUCUCAGGAGUUCAAUGUAACUGUGAUAACAAAAAAGAUUUUAGAAUGUGUAAGUAGGGAGCAUUUUGGCGACAACAGUCUACAUGCACUCCAUGAGAAUCUUAAACAAAAACUAACGUCGAAGAGGUUUUUGCUCAUACUGGAUGAUGUUUGGAACGAUGAUAAAAUGAUGGCGUGGGAGAAAUUGGUUGCUCCUUUGAAAUUCGGACAGAGAGGAAGCAAGAUUCUGUUGACAACUCGGAUGCGUUCGGUUGCAGAUAUGGCGGCAAAAGUGAUGAAAUGCAAACAGGAAUCAUUAAAUCUAAAUAAGUUGGAGGAGAGCGACUAUAUGUUGCUUUUCAAUAAGCAUGCAUUCCUCGGUGUGAAUCCUGAUGAUUAUAAAAACUUGCAACUGAUUGGCGAACAGAUAGCGAAGAAACUUGGAGGAUGCCCAUUGGCCAUAAAGGUCAUGGGAGGAAUGCUGAACUCCUGCAUGGACUAUGAAUAUUGGAAGAAAAUCCUGGAAAAAGACAA
rnacentral:lncRNA from 1 species